UGGGAUCCCGGGCCCCCGGGCCUCCGGGCGCACCACCGGCCCGUCUCGCCCGCUCCGUCGGGGAGGUGGAGCCUGAGCGGGGGCGAUAGGACCCGAAAGAUGGUGAACUAUGCCUGGGCAGGGC
rnacentral:rRNA from 1 species